UUGUAAGGUGACUUAAACCUGGAAUAUCCAGAAGAAAAAGAAAUUGUAAUCAAGGACACUGAGAAGCAAGACAGGUCUAAGGUACCUACUCCAAACAGAAUCUUGCAAUUCUUAUCCUAAGAGAGAUAAGGGCUUAUAAGCAAGAUCCUUUGCAAUGUCCUUAUCUGGCUGGUAAUGGACUUGUGUGCUCCACGUGCCCAGCACCCAGCAAAGAAGAAUGAGGAUACGCAUCAGAGAGAAUCCACAGGGACUGGUAACUGCAGCGGCCUGGCCCCCACCCAGCUGUCUGGGAGGCCAUCCGGGCUCUGCGGCAGCAUAAAGGGAGGGGCAGUCAGGCUCGCGCACCACUGUCGCACAGAAUCCUUUUGUUUUUGUGUAAAUAUCCUAAAGUAUACCUGUUAGGCUUUGGUUUGGUUGGGUAUUGGAGCCCAUGACAAGUUACCCCCGCAGUCCUACGAGCCUGGAGACUUCUAGGUGCAGAUGUGAUUCUAACAAACUACCUCAUCGAGAAUAAAGCUCGGUAUGAGCGCUUUUCUACCUGC